rnacentral:rRNA from 1 species
UACGAAGGUCCCGAGCGUUAUCCGGAUUUAUUGGGUUUAAAGGGUGCGUAGGCGGCCCGUUAAGUCAGUGGUGAAAGCCUCCAGCUCAACUGGAGAACUGCCAUUGAUACUGGCGGGCUUGAGUACAGACGAGGUAGGCGGAAUUGAUUGUGUAGCGGUGAAAUGCAUAGAUACAAUCAAGAACACCGAUUGCGUAGGCAGCUUACUAGGCUGUAACUGACGCUGAGGCACGAAAGCGUGGGGAGCGAACAGG